rnacentral:rRNA from 1 species
CAGUCGCCACGGUAAUACGUAGGUGGCAAGCGUUGUCCGGAUUUACUGGGCGUAAAGCGAACGCAGGCGGACUGUUAAGUAGGAAGUGAAAGGUCGGAGCUCAACUCCAACAUUGCUUCCUAUACUGGCAGUCUUGAGUAGCGGAGAGGAAGGGGGAACGACACGUGUAGCGGUGAAAUGCGUUGAUAUGUGUCGGAACACCCAUGGCGAAAGCACCCUUCUGGACGCAAACUGACGCUCAGGUUCGAGAGCCAAGGUAGCGAACAGGAUUAGAUACCCCCGUAGUCCCUGUCUCUUAUAC